rnacentral:rRNA from 1 species
UACCGGCGGCUCGAGUGGUGGCCACGUUUAUUGGGCUUAAAGCGUUCGUAGCUGGGUUAUUAAGUCCCUUGGGAAAUCCGACAGCUUAACUGUCGGGCGUCUAAGAGAUACUGGGUAAUCUUGGAACCGGGAGAGGUGAGGGGGUACUUCGGGGGUAGGAGUGAAAUCCUGUAAUCCUCGAGGGACCACCUGUGGCGAAGGCGCCUCACCAGAACGGCUUCGACAGUGAGGGACGAAAGCUGGGGGAGCAAACCGGAUUAGAUACCCGGGUAGUCCCAGCCGUAAACGAUGUGCGUUAGGUGUAUCGGUGACCACGAGUCACCGAGGUGCCGAAGGGAAACCGUGAAACGUACCGCCUGGGAAGUACGGUCGCAAGGCUGAAACUUAAAGGAAUUGGCGGGGGAGCACCACAACAGGUGGAGCCUGCGGUUUUAAAAUUGGACUCAACGCCGGAAAUCUCACCGGAUAAGACAGCAGAAUGAUUGCCGGGCUGAAGACUCUGCAUGACUAGCUGAGAAGUGGUGCAUGG